rnacentral:rRNA from 1 species
GGGGGAUAUUGCGCAAUGGGGGCAACCCUGACGCAGCAACGCCGCGUGAAGGAUGAAGGUUUUCGGAUUGUAAACUUCUUUUAUUAAGGACGAAAAAUGACGGUACUUAAUGAAUAAGCAUCGGCUAACUCCGUGCCAGCAGCCGCGGUAAUACGGAGGAUGCGAGCGUUAUCCGGAUUUAUUGGGUUUAAAGGGUGCGUAGGUGGUGAUUUAAGUCAGCGGUGAAAGUUUGUGGCUCAACCAUAAAAUUGCCGUUGAAACUGGGUUACUUGGGUGUGUUUGAGGUAGGCGGAAUGCGUGGUGUAGCGGUGAAAUGCAUAGAUAUCACGCAGAACUCCGAUUGCGAAGGCAGCUUACUAAACCAUAACUGACACUGAAGCACGAAAGCGUGGGGAUCAAACAGGAUUAGAUACCCUGGUAGUCCACGCAGUAAACGAUGAUUACUAGGAGUUUGCGAUACAAUGUAAGCUCUACAGCGAAAGCGUUAAGUAAUCCACCUGGGGAGUACGCCGGCAACGGUGAAACUCAAAGGAAUUGACGGGGGCCCGCACAAGCGGAGGAACAUGUGGUUUAAUUCGAUGAUACGCGAGGAACCUUACCCGGGUUUGAACGUAGUCUGACCGGAGUGGGAACACUUUUUCUAGCAAUAGCAGAUUACGAGGUGCUGCAUGGUUGUCGUCAGCUCGUGCCGUGAGGUGUCGGCUUAAGUGCCAUAACGAGCGCAACCCUUAUCACUAGUUACUAACAGGUGAAGCUGAGGACUCUGGUGAGACUGCCAGCGUAAGCUGUGAGGAAGGUGGGGAUGACGUCAAAUCAGCACGGCCCUUACAUCCGGGGCGACACACGUGUUACAAUGGCAUGGACAAAGAGCAGCUACCUGGCGACAGGAUGCUAAUCUCCAAACCAUGUCUCAGUUCGGAUCGGAGUCUGCAACUCGACUCCGUGAAGCUGGAUUCGCUAGUAAUCGCGCAUCAGCCAUGGCGCGGUGAAUACGUUCCCG